rnacentral:rRNA from 1 species
UACGAAGGGGGCUAGCGUUGUUCGGAAUCACUGGGCGUAAAGGGCGCGUAGGCGGCCGAGCAAGUCGGGGGUGAAAGCCUGUGGCUCAACCACAGAAUUGCCUUCGAUACUGUUUGGCUUGAGACCGGAAGAGGUUAGUGGAACUGCGAGUGUAGAGGUGAAAUUCGUAGAUAUUCGCAAGAACACCAGUGGCGAAGGCGGCUGACUGGUCCGGUUCUGACGCUGAGGCGCGAAGGCGUGGGGAGCAAACAGG